rnacentral:rRNA from 1 species
GAGAAAGGGAGCAAUCCUAAGUAAAGUGGCGCACGGGUGAGUAACACGUGGAUCAUCUACCUUUUAGUGGGGAAUACCUCUGGGAAACCGGAGACAAUACCGCAUAAGCCUGUAAAGGGAAAGCAGCAAUGCGCUGAAAGAGGAGUCCGCGGCCGAUUAGCUAGUUGGCGGGGUAAUGGCCCACCAAGGCGAAGAUCGGUAGCCGGCCUGAGAGGGCACACGGCCACACUGGCACUGAAACACGGGCCAGACUCCUACGGGAGGCAGCAGUGGGGAAUCUUGCACAAUGGGCGAAAGCCUGAUGCAGCGACGCCGCGUGAGCGAUGAAGCCCUUCGGGGUGUAAAGCUCUUUCGACGGGAACGAUAAUGACGGUACCCGGAGAAGAAGCUGCGGCUAACUACGUGCCAGCAGCCGCGGUAAUACGUAGGCAGCGAGCGUUGUUCGGAAUUACUGGGCGUAAAGAGUGUGUAGGCGGUGUUCCCAGUCUGUUGUGAAAUCUCCCGGCUUAACUGGGAGGGUGCAGCGGAAACUAGAAUGCUAGAGGGUGGGAGAGGUAAGCGGAAUUCCUGGUGUAGCGGUGAAAUGCGUAGAUAUCA